rfam:Perkinsus marinus ATCC 50983 gcontig_1104296760050, whole genome shotgun sequence.
UGUUCUGGGCUGCACGCGCGCUACACUGACACGAUCAACAAGUAUUUCCUUGCCCGGUAGGGUUAGGGUAAUCUUUUGAAAUCGUGUCGUGCUAGGGAUAGACGAUUGCAAUUAUUCGUCUUCAACGAGGAAUUCCUAGUAAAUGCAAGUCAUCAGCUUGCGUUGAUUACGUCCCUGCCCUUUGUACACACCGCCCGUCGCUCCUACCGAUUGAGUGAUCCGGUGAGCUGUCCGGACUGCGAUUAGUUCAGUUUCUGUUCUCUUCGCGGGAAGUUCUGCAAACCUUAUCACUUAGAGGAAGGAGAAGUCGUAACAAGGUUUCCGUAGGUGAACCUGCGGAAGGAUCAUUC